UACGUAGGUGGCUAGCGUUGUCCGGAUUUACUGGGCGUAAAGAGCGCGCAGGCGGUCGUUCAAGUCGAGUGUGAAAGCCCCCGGCUCAACUGGGGAGGGUCACUCGAUACUGAUCGACUUGAAGGCGGGAGAGGGAAGCGGAAUUCCCGGUGUAGUGGUGAAAUGCGUAGAUAUCGGGAGGAACACCAGUGGCGAAGGCGGCUUUCUGGCCCGUUCUUGGACGCUGAGGCGCGAAAGCUAGGGUAGCAAACGGGG
rnacentral:rRNA from 1 species